rnacentral:misc_RNA from 1 species
UAUUAAGAAGAUUGAUAAAGUCAGAUCUAACAGGGAAGCCAAACACAUUGAAAAGAGGAUGAAGGUCAAGAAAAGCAAGGAGCGGAGAGAGGCAGCAAAGGAAUUGGAGCAGAGUAUCCACUUGGUCAAACCUCCUUCAGUUCUUGCUCAAGAUCCAUCUCUCACAUUGCCCAAGAUCAAGGUCAAGGUCUCCCAACAGCAAACAGAGGAAAACCAUGCAAUGGAGGAGUGAUUUUGUUACUGGUUUAUAUGUUCUGUUCUUCUCUUUUGUUCUCUUUCUUUUCAUUCUUGUGUGGGAAGGCGGAGUAUUUGUAGAGGGGUUUCAGCACUUAUUCAUGUGCCUCUCUUCCUCUAUGUAUAAGUUCUUCGCCUUCUGCACUUGAAGGGCAGCUAUGCUAAAGAGGACAACUGAAAGGGCAAAAAUGACCU